UACAGAGGGGGCAAGCGUUGUUCGGAAUUACUGGGCGUAAAGGGCGCGUAGGCGGCCUGUUAAGUCAUGCGUGAAAUCCCCGGGCUCAACCCGGGAACUGCGUCUGAUACUGGCAGGCUUGAAUCCGGGAGAGGGAUGUGGAAUUCCAGGUGUAGCGGUGAAAUGCGUAGAUAUCUGGAGGAACACCGGUGGCGAAGGCGGCAUCCUGGACCGGCAUUGACGCUGAGGCGCGAAAGCGUGGGGAGCAAACAGG
rnacentral:rRNA from 1 species